rnacentral:tRNA from 1 species
ACGGGUGUGGCUCAAUUGGUAGAGCGACGGUCUCCAAAACCGUAGGUUCGGGGUUCGAGUCCCUGCUCCCGUGCAA